rnacentral:rRNA from 1 species
UACGGAGGGUGCAAGCGUUAUCCGGAUUCACUGGGUUUAAAGGGAGCGCAGGCGGACAUGUAAGUCAGUGGUGAAAUACCUGAGCUUAACUCGGGAACUGCCAUUGAUACUAUGUGUCUUGAAUAUUGUUGAGGUUUGCGGAAUGGGUCAUGUAGCGGUGAAAUGCAUAGAUAUGACCCGGGAACACCAAUUGCGAAGGCAGCAGGCGAAACAAAGAUUGACGCUGAGGCUCGAAAAGCGUGGGGAUCAAACAGG